CUACUACUCCCUCCGUUUGGAAUUAAUUGUCGCAGAAAUGGUGUAUCUAGACAUAUUUUAGUUCUAGAUACAUUCAUUUCCGAGACAAGUAAUUCCGAACGGAGGGAGUAGAAU
rfam:Triticum aestivum genome assembly, contig: Triticum_aestivum_CS42_TGACv1_scaffold_405028_5BL